UGCUGGUGCCUGUGACUGUGGACCUUCAAUACCUCUGGUGGUGGAGCCUGGUCCUAUCGGGCCCCCAGGGUUGCCUGGGUUACCUGGCAUCUCAGGGGCAACUGGACUGAGAAGCGAUAGCAGUUUGUCAGGAGAACACGGAGAACGUGGACCAGCCGGAUUGCCUGGGUUUCCAGGGGCUCGAGGUUUCAAAGGUCCAAAAGGGGACAUCUACAUAAUGGAUAUCAAAGGAAAGAAGGGAGCAAUGGGCCCCUGAGGGCCUCCUGGUCAACAGGGAGCCACAGGAAUGAGGGGACAAGAUGGUUUCUCAGGCGCACCUGGCGAUGAAGCCCCAGAGGGGGAUAGCUAUCCAGGGUUUCCUGGUGAGAGAGGCUAUCCAGGAUUCGAUGGGCCUAAAGGGUUCCCCGGGCCCGCUGGUUCCCCAGGUUUGGAUGUCAUAGGUGCUGUGUGACUCAGGGGGCCCCCGGGGGAUGCGGGACCCCCAGGAUUCAGGGGGCCUGUUGGCCCAAAAGGAGUCCAAGGAAAUACUCUGCCCUGUGUGCCCAGUAACCCUGGAGCACCUGGAGAGAAGGGCGAUGCCGGAGAACAAGG